AUGGGGUUUGUGUGUGGUGUAUGGGUGUGCAGUGUGUGGGUAUGUGUGGUGUGUGUGUAUGUGUGUGGCGUGUGUGGUGUGUGUGUGUGGUGUGUGUGUGUGGUGUGUGUGUGUGGUGUGUGUGUGUGGUGUGUGUGCGUGGUGUGUGUGUGGUACGGGCAGCUAUACUAUGUGUUAAGUGUGUGUAUGUGGUGUUCGUGUGUGUGUGGUUUUAUGUGUAUAUGCAGUAUGUGUGUCGUGUGUAGGUGUGUGGUAUAUGUGAUGUACGUAUGUCCAGAAAGUAUAUAUCAGGUGUGCGUAUGGUGUGUAUGCGUGGUAUAUGUAUGUAAGGGACAUGCAGUCUGCCUGUAUGUAUGGUAUGUGUGUAUGUGCGCAUGGUGUGUGUGUGGCAUGUGUGGUAUGUCUGUAAUGUGUUGGUAUGCAGGUGCACAGUAUAUGGGGUGUGUGUGGCAUGUGUGUGUGGUGUGUGUAUGUGAGAUGUGCAUGCAUCGUAUAUGUGUGGUGUGUGAUGUGGGUGUGUGUGGUGUGUGUAUGUGAUGUCGGUGUGCAUGGUCCAUGCAGCGUGUGUGUGUGUGAUGUGUGUAUGUGGCGUAUGAGUGUGUGGUGUGUAAGAUAAGUGUAAGAGAAGAGGCAGUGUUCUCACCCAGCUCCUCCUCUAUGUGGCGCCCUCCCCACUGGGAGGAAAAUGCUCUCACCCAGCUGUUACUGAUGCCCUCUCUUGAUCUUUUUAGAAGGAAAACUCUUCCCCUCCUACAGACCAACGUAGAGGAGCAGGAGGGGGCCCCCUCAUGAAGAACCCUUGCAGGGGCGACAGAUUUCCUCCGGGGGCCGGGGGUGGGUCCCACACACCGACAGCGCCCUGCACCCUCGCGGGGCCAGCUCCCUCUGCGGCCCCUGCCACCAGCCCGCAGGGGAAGGACACGCACAGGGCCUUGGCCUUUUUCUCCGAGAACACCCUCGUGUCUGCCCACAUCCUUGAGGAUGAGGGCCGCGGAGCUGGGCUCUAUUGCGUUGAUUUGGGGCUCGCUGAUUUUAAACCCUGGGCUAAGAAUCCCGGGUGUUCAUUGGAAGGACCGAUGUUGAAGCUGAAACUCCAAUACUUUGGCCACCUGAUGCGAAGAGCUGACUCAUUGGAAAAGACCCUGAU
rnacentral:lncRNA from 1 species